UACGUAGGGUGCAAGCGUUUGUCCGGAAUUAUUGGGCGUAAAGAGCUCGUAGGCGGUCUGUCGCGUCGGAUGUGAAAAUCCAGGGCUCAACCCUGGACCUGCAUUCGAUACGGGCAGACUAGAGUUCGGCAGGGGAGACUGGAAUUCCUGGUGUAGCGGUGAAAUGCGCAGAUAUCAGGAGGAACACCGGUGGCGAAGGCGGGUCUCUGGGCAGUAACUGACGCUGGAGGAGCGAAAGCGUGGGGAGCGAACAGG
rnacentral:rRNA from 1 species